rnacentral:rRNA from 1 species
GAGCGGAUGACGGGAGCUUGCUCCUUGAUUCAGCGGCGGACGGGUGAAGUAAUGCCUAGGAAUCUGCCUGGUAGUGGGGGACAACGUUUCGAAAGGAACGCUAAUACCGCAUACGUCCUACGGGAGAAAGCAGGGGACCUUUGGGCCUUGCGCUAUCAGAUGAGCCUAGGUCGGAUUAGCUAGUUGGUGGGGUAAUGGCUCACCAAGGCGACGAUCCGUAACUGGUCUGAGAGGAUGAUCAGUCACACUGGAACUGAGACACGGUCCAGACUCCUACGGGAGGCAGCAGUGGGGAAUAUUGGACAAUGGGCGAAAGCCUGAUCCAGCCAUGCCGCGUGUGUGAAGAAGGUCUUCGGAUUGUAAAGCACUUUAAGUUGGGAGGAAGGGCAGUAAGUUAAUACCUUGCUGUUUUGACGUUUUCGACAGAAUAAGCACCGGCUAACUCUGUGCCAGCAU